UGUCUGUACAGAGCGGCGCGUGCUCCACGCGAGCGACGGACACGCUCCAGCUGUGCUCUCAGGAUGACCCAGUGGGAGACAGGAGCACCAGCGGCAGCAGAGACCCCUGACAGCAAGCUCUUUGGGAAGUGGUGCACCGAUGAUGUGCAGCUCAAUGACAUUUCCCUGCAGGAUAACAUUGCAGUGGAGGAGAAGUAUGCCAAGUACCUGCCUCACAGUGCAGGGCGGUAUGCCGCGAAACGCUUCUGCAAAGCUCAGUGCCCCAUCGUGGAGCGCGUCACUAGCUCCGUGACGAUGCAUGGCCGCAGCGAUGGCAAGAAGCUCACGACUGCGCGCAUCGUCAAGCAUGCCUUCGAUUUCAUCCACCUGCUCACAGGCGAGAACCCUCUGCAGCUCCUGGUGAACGCCGUCAUCAACAGUGGUCCCCGGGAGGACUCCACGCGCAUGGGGCAGCCGGGACUGUGAGACCACAGGCUGUGGACGUGUCCCCACUGCCCCAGGUGACUCAGGCCAUCUGGCUGCUGGGCGCGGGCGUUCAUGAGGCUGCCUUCCGGAACAUCAAGACCAUUGCUGAGUGCCUGGCAGAUGAGCUCAUCAGUGCCGCCAAGGGCUCCUCCAACUCCUAUGCCAUCAAGAAGGAGGACGAGCUGGCGCGUGUGACCAAGUCCAACCACUGACUUUUCCAGCUGCUGCCCAAUAAACCUGUCUGCCCUUUGGGGCAGCCCCACAAAAAAAGAAAAAGAAAAAAA